rnacentral:rRNA from 1 species
GAUGAACGCUGGCGGCGUGCCUAACACAUGCAAGUCGAACGGAGAUUACGGACGGAUGUUUUCGUAUGGAAUACUGUAAUUCUUAGUGUCGGUCGGGUGAGUAACGCUUGGUCUACCUGCCCUAUACAGUGGGUUAGCAGCUGGUAACGUCUGGUAUGACCUCAUAUGUCUGUUAAAUCGCAUUUUUUUUUCUUGUAAUUAGCAGUCAGGUAUAGGAUGGGCCCGCUUCCGUUUUGCCAGUUGGCAGGGUAAAAGCCUACCAAAGCGACGAUCGGUAGACGGAAUGAGAGGACGGAAGGACAAAAUGGGACUGAGACACGGACCAAAAUACUACGGGAGGCAGCAGUGGGGGAUAUAGCAAAAUGGAGGAAACUCUGAUGAAGCGACGACGCGAGAGUGAAGAAGUAAUUCGGUAUGUAAAGCUCUAUCAGAAGGGAAGAUGAUGACGGUAACUGAAUAAGAAGCCCCGGCUAACUACGUG